rnacentral:ncRNA from 2 species
CUUGCCGUGGGAGAUGGCAUUCCUCCCGAGCGGCCUUCUCGUUCGCUCGAACCACCGUCUAUCGGUUAAUGAUGCCUGCGGGCGC